rnacentral:rRNA from 1 species
UACGUAGGGGGCAAGCGUUGUCCGGAUUUAUUGGGCGUAAAGAGCUCGUAGGCGGCUCGGUAAGUCGGAUGUGAAACCUCCAGGCUCAACCUGGAGACGCCAUCUGAUACUGCCGUGCUUGAGGCCGGUAGAGGAGCAGGGAAUUCCUGGUGUAGCGGUGAAAUGCGCAGAUAUCAGGAGGAACACCAGCGGCGAAGGCGCUGCUCUGGGCCGGUACUGACGCUGAGGAGCGAAAGCGUGGGGAGCGAACAGG